AUGGAGGUCAAAAAAUGUGCAUGGAUAUUGAACUCAUAAAGUGAAACGAAAAACUGCAAUUUCACGAAUAUAAACGAUUGUACCAAGUAGGUAUGCAUUCAUUACCCAAUAAUAAUAUAUACAUAUAGUAUCUGCGUUAUUCAAUGUUGAUUCUUUUGUUUAAUCAGACAUUAAUUCACUGUUUUGAGGCUUCAAAUUCGAGUGAAAAGGGAAGACGGCCUUCAAAACAAUAACGUAUACUCGUGUUUAUGUUUGUAAAGGUACACUCAAGAAUGUCUUAGAAACCUUAAAUCACUGAUUGUUAACCUUCCAAAUUUGAUUGUUGUUGUCAGCAGCACUUCUUUUUUUUUCACUGAUUUCAGAUAAAUAAGAUAAAGGAGGUACAUUUUCUGUUCACAAUCACAGAAAGGGACACUGAGUGACUCAGCUCUGGACUCCUUUCUUCAAUACUUCUAAGGAAGAAAUUGAAUUGCUACCAAUUCAGCAUUUCUUUUAAAAUUCCUUAUUUAUAUUAGUAUUCAAAACUAACAAACUUUUGAUUGCCAUUGCAGUUUAUACAUUUUUACACAUUUACGUGUUAUGAGAUAUAUAUAUUUAUGUAUUUGUUUUAUUUCUGUACAACACAAAUAAUAAUGAACCACUUUCCAGUUAUUUUUAUAAAUGAGUUUUAACGGUUGACCCAAGGUCGCUCUGCAGAAAUUUUGUCAUUGAACAGUUGACUCUGUUUCAACAUUGGCAUUAUGACAUAAAAAAUUACGGGAAAAUCCAUGGGGUUCGCCCGGUUGAAAGCAGUUAAUCAUAUCCCCAGUAGCAAAACUUACGACUUUAUCUUGCACAUGACUUUUUGUGCCAUGUUUUGUAUAAACAAUAACUCCAAUAAUAGUAGAUGUGACAUCAUGAUAUAUGUACCCUAUAAAAUUCUACAGACCCCAAUGGAGUCAUAGGAGUGUCGUAAUGGUAGUACUUUCACGACGAAUAACGGCAAAAAAUCUUGCCAAAUGAUGUCAACAGUAAUUUUCGGUGCAUAAAGAUAAAAUGUACACUUUCUUUAAUACGAUUAAAAAAAGGACUGUGUUGACUAACCACAUUAGUUUUUCCGAAAAAAUAAUGGUAACAGAAAUAAGUUGACACCUUCGACAAAUCAAGAUAGGGAUAUUUUGACGAAUCAGUGACAUUUUAACUAAUUUGACACCUACCAUGCUAACAGUAGUCCAGUAAUGACUAUUUUGCGACUGACGGAAAAGGGCAUUCUUAAAUAAUUACCCUCUCAUACAUGUAGGGGAUACCUUUUUGACAGCGUUAAAUCACUAAUCACAUAAUUUAACUGAACUGUAUUUGGAAAAUGAAUGAGUUAUCUCUCUUUAUACAAAAUUCUCUUGUAAACUAUUAUGAUAGUCCUGACCCCUAAUGUAGAAAGGCUUUGUAAUUUCCGCACUGGUACAUAUGUACAUAGUCCCCACCCCCUUCUCCCCACGAAAUUUUAGGUAAAAAAACUUUUUGUAACUGUUAGAAAAGGUCUGAUGAAACUCAGUAAUUUCAAAUCCUGUGCAGUAAAAUAAGUUUAAUUCACUUAAAAAACAAUUUAGAAACUUGUGUAUGUUUAAACAGGAAGUUCAAAAAGCAUGUGUAAAAGAAGAAAUUAACCGGUGAGAGUAGAAAUCUGUACAUAGCAGAUAUCACUAUAAUACGACAUUGAAAGUAAAACAGUUCCAUCCUUUUGUAAAACAGUCUUUAAUAUAUCUAUAACAUUAAAGUUUGAAGGGUCUUAAGCUAUUACAAACCAUAUUAGUCAGUAUGAAACACCAAAACAGAACGAACAAUAACCGAUUACGUUUUGUAGUUUACAAAUUUUAAGCUGGUUUACGGUUGUCUUUUUCACUAUGUUUGUAUCGUUUCAAUCAAGCAGAUACCAGUUUAUUUCAACCAAUGCAUUGAAAACAAACGAGAAAUUUUUAAUGAAAGGUUUAGUUUUUAUAUUUAUAUUUAUCAGUAUUAAUUUGAUAUUGAACAGAAAUAACUUAUUAAUAUGGAUGAGUUAAAAUUAUUAGUUUGAAAAAUGAUAAGAGUGCCCUCUACAAUAUCAAUAACAAAGAUGGUGGAACGUAAGUGGCGGAUCCAGAACUUUUCCUAAGGGGGGGGGCCGCUCCAGUCAUGCUUCAAUGAUUCCCUAUAUAAUCAACCAAAUUUCCCCCCCCCUGGAUCUGCCUAUGAACUUUAACAAACCACCUCGCCCAUGAAAUUAAAAUUUUUCUCUUAUUUCUUGCUUAUUGUACUCUAUAGUCCGCAUCCCGUCUGAAAGGUCCAAUUUUGGAGAAUAAAACCGCGGACUAUACAAGCCUUUCUAUGGUAAUCAUGCUAAUGUACAUUAAUGUAAAAAACAGUAUAUUGCAUGUUACUUAAUUUUUCUUCUUUAUCCAAUAUGGAAAACAUUGCAAUUGUGAUAGUGUGCACGUGGUAAAAAUGUAACUAUGUUCCCAGAACAAAAUAUUUAAUGGAAAAAUAAAAGAAGAAAAGCUGACCUAACAAUUGCUAAAUACAGAUACAUGUUUGUACUUAAAAUUGAGAAUGGAAAAGCUUGUUUAUGGUCAUAAGCUAGUAUCUAAAAGGAAAUUUUGUUAAAAUUUUGUACAUGUACCUGUUUUUCCAUAUUUUACUUAUAAAUGGACUUGGGUUUUCUUCCAAUUAAAAUUACAUACAUGUACAGUCUGCAAUUAAAGUUUUUAAAACAUUUAUUAGAUUCAUAAACUAUCCUUGAUUUCUACCAAACUUGGACAAAAGCUUCUUACAAUCAACUAGUAUUGAGAAGAAUGUUUUUAUUUUUUUCCUCAUUUUUGUUGAGCCAGCGAUUAACAGCAAAAGUAGGCGAGACACUGAGUUCCAUGGACCACUUAAUUUUUUUUUCACACACCCACCAUUUUUGAGUAAAGUCCAACAGAGUGUAGUUGACAGGUCUGUAUCAGGGCUUCCAAAAUGGUCAUAUAUUCCGGUCAUUUGUAUAAUGUCCGGUAAAAGUUUGGCUGGGCAAAGCAUGAAACGGUCAUAUACUUCUUAGUUUUUAAGGCUUUUUUGGUCAUUUUUACAUAAUUUACGAUCUUUUUGACCCAACCUUUUGCCUUUAACAUCAACACAUUUCCGGUCAUAAAUGUGACAUGAUGAUUAAUUACUAUCAAAACAACACCUACUUCAAUACUUUCUAAUUUCAAUCAAGGCUAAUUAGUAGUUGGACAGCUGAAAUCUACCUGUUCAGGUGACAGGUGAACUCUGUUCAGUACCGGACAUCGUAUAAAUUGAUCGGUUUAUUCACAAUUAUUUUCUUAUCAUUUCAGCAGUUUGUAUCUGAUUGAUGUAGUCCAAAAGAUUAAAAUUAUUAGAAAUUAGUUUAUCAACAUGAUUUGAUGAAAAAUUUAAAAAGAUUUUAAAUGAAAAAUCGUCAGAACUACGUCGUAUGAACUAGAACACGUGUGCGCAUGUGCACUGGUGGGAAAUUUAAUAAUGCAUCUUACAUUUCUUCAAAAAUGCUAAAAUUAUCAUUGAUACCUGUAGUGUAUCUAACGUUCAUUUCAAGUAUUUUGUUGAAGAAAUAACAUUGAAAGAGCUUCUUCUCUCAGUCGUGCUUUGUAAACGUACACGGAUUUUACAUAUCCGUUUAUGGUCCAUAUUUUACCAUUGUCAAGUCAACAUCCGGUUAGAACAAUGUGAAAACGAAAGUAAAGUUUUUGACAACAUCAUUUUGCACAAAUAAAAAGUCUAAGGCAGAUAUGAGCACGCUGAUGGUGCGAACACUUUGAAUGAUGCACUGCCAUAUUUAACAGUACAUCCGAACAUAAAAUUCAUAUCAUAUCAAAGUAAAGUUUAAAAUCGUUUUUUUUUCAUGUAAUGUCAAUCAUUGGAUUGGCCAUCUGAUUACCAUAAUUGCCUUUUGUGACUAAGUUUUAAGGGAUUAAAAUUGGGAUCAGAUAUGAAAUGUCUGGCUGGCUCAAAUAUUUUUUGGAAGCCCUGGUCUGUAUGUAUAUUUGUAAUAAGUGGCAGGUUCAGACUAAUUUGUACAUAAUUACGCAUUGAAUACCCUUUGGUGGCGUUUGGCUUUUGUCUACUCUUUAGUUGGGUUGCUGUACAUGUACAUUUGUAUCUUUGACAUAUUCCCCAAUUCCAUUCUCAAUUUUAUACAGUAUAAAUGUACACGUGUUUGUAUACAUGUAUGUAAAAAUAAUAAGCCAAUCAAAAUGUGUGACUACAUGUACCAUAAUACUAAAAAUGCUAUACAUCUAUAUGUUCACUAGUGAUUGACAAUUAGUCUUUGGAGAUUUCUUUCAUGAUAUAUAAAAACAAUUUCACAUCCUCUGAACCAUAGAAAAGUGUUUUUGUGCAUAUUUUAUAAUGGUUGCCUUCAUACAGUGUAGAAGCUUACUCCUUAAGGAAAACAACAUAAUAUUUAAUAGCCGUAUUUCAGAUAUUUUGAAGUGUUUAUCCAGAAGACAGGUUCUGAAUAUCUAAUAAUGAAUUUUCUGUACAUACAGAACUUCAGUUCUAUUUUUAUCAUUUCAUUAAUUUAUCACGACCAAAAAUGGAAAGCCAAUAAAAGCCACACCACUGACAUCAUUUAACAUGGCUCAGUAAAUCGAAAUAAGUUUGAAAUUAUUGAUUUUGAUCUUCUCCCUUUCAAAUAGAAUCCAAGUCAUUAUAGAAGUAAGUUUUCAUUUAAAUGCACGAUUUAAAUCUUUCUGUAAUUUUCCGAUUAAGAAUUAUAGUUACGUCAUUAAAAUGAACAGUUAUGGUAGACGAUUGGUAACAGUAUAAAUAGUACAAACAAUACACAUCAUGAUUUAGCUUGUAAUUAGUAUUAGACUACCUUAUAUUGACUUUAAUAAUGUAAUAGAAUUUCUUUGGAGUAAGAAUAUAUUUCAUUUUUACCCGUUGGCAGAUUUCCAGUUUAUAGUGUUCAUUAUCAAUAAGAUAAACCCAGACUUGUGAGGUCUAUUGUGUCCGGGAUAAAAGGGAAUGAGGCUACAGACAGGCUGAUCAAAUCUUGUUGUUGAUUGUAAAACGAUAAGCAUGGCAAUGGUUUACCAGACCUCAGAUUUAAAUGUAAAGAAGGGCGACAAUUUAGUAAUUUUUGAAACAUUAACUCUACAAGCAUUUGACAAAACACAAAAGCCAAGGAACAGUGCUUUCAAUUCAAAAUGAUAAGCAUGGCAAAUGCUUACCAGAAAUCAGAUUUGAAUUAAAUGUUAAGAAGGGCGACAAUUUAAUAAUUUUUGACACAUUAAUAACUCCACAUGCAUUUGACAUAACUCAAAAGCCAAUAUGGCCAUGGAACAGCACCUUCUAUGCAAAAUGAUAAGCAUGGCAAUGGCUUACCAGACUUGGGAUAUAAUUGUUAAAAAGAGCAACAAUUAAGCAAUUCUUGGCACAUUAUAUAAUUAUAAACUUGUCAUGCAUUUGACAAAACCAAAAGUCUAAUAAACAGCACCUUUAAUGCUAUUCUUUAACUAAAUUCCGCAGUAAGACCUUUGACAGUGAGCACUAACUCACACCUUACUGCAAGUUUGCAUUUUCUAGUCCAGAAAGAUACAUUAUAGUUGUGACUAUUAUCAUGAUUAUGGUAGAUAAUUUGUAUACAUGUACAUCCAGAUGUAAUCUUUAAUGUUUUUAUGAGAAAUGUUAAAAUUGAAAGUCUGAACACAGCUGCAUGACAGCUAAAAAGGCGUCACCAAUAAAUAGAUCAACAGAAAGUAUUUUAUUCCUAUGCUGAGAUAUCUGUUCUAUUCAAUUAAGUUUCUGAAUAUCAUGAUUUCAUUUUAUUAGUUUAUCAAAUGUUUAAUUUUAAAUUAAAAAAAAAGAACACUGACUUUUCUGUAAAUUUUAUGUUGAUGGUUGUACAUGUACCUUGUUCUGAAGGAAAAUUUAACACAGUUUUGAACAAUUGCAUGCUUCUUUAUGUGUUAGAAUUAGGGUGACACCUUAGCUAGGUCACAAUAAACAUUACAUACUCAAAUGCAUCAUCAUUGUACAUUUUACGAUUUAAUUAGAAAUACAAAAUGUAUGUAUAGCUCUGUGCUAGUGCAUGUAGUGUCAGCAGUGACCUACAUAAUUUGUACAUGUAUGUUUGGUUGGUACUAAUUGUUAUCUAAUUGUACUUGAAAUGAUUGUUUUCCGAGUUGGGGUACCAACCCAUAUUAUUAUGAACGGACAUACUUUGAAGUGAAAGAUGCAAACUUAUUUAUAAAAUUUAUAAAAUUUGUUUCCCAUACAUGUGUCUGUCAAUCAUUUAACAAAAUAAGAUUUUAACAUUGACACCUUAGAUAUAACUUUUUCUAGUUGAAUAAAAUCAGAUAAAAAGUAAUUUAAAUAUUAAGCAUCAAUUUAUUUUCUUUGUUAGAAGUUUUGGUUUAUAAGUGAGGCUGUCGUAAAACAUUUGCCUGGAGGCUAUUUCCUAUAAAAAUGAUUGUGUAUGUUAUAUGAAUUAACUUAGUGGAAAAUAAAUCAAGUAUAAAAUUAUGCUUGGUUUUUACAGGUUAUUCAGCUAAAAAUCUUGUAAGAGUGUAUAAAACCUUUAAACCACACCCCAUAUUUAUAGUUCAAAAAUACUGUGCACUUUUCAUAAGCUGCAACCAUUAUCCCAAAUCUAGGUAACCCAUAUACAUUAGACUAGAACACGUUUUGUGAAGGGAAAUGGGUUACACCACUUAUAAUCCAAGGUCCAGGGAGGGUUGGGCACCAACUUGAACUAUUUUAACUUUGCAUUUGCCACAUUUUGUAUGUUUACGUACCUGUCCAAAGUCUGGAGCUUGAACUUCCCCUCAUUAUGCCAUUAGACAUGUACCAUGUAUUAAUUGUAUAUGUAUAUUUACAUGUUUGAAUAUAUAUUUUGAACAUCAGUCAUGUAUGAGCCACUGUGGCCAAGUAGUUUAUUUAUUGUAUCACUAUUAUUAUCUAUAACUACAUGUAGCAUGUCAUCACUGUGGGUUCAAGUCCUGAAGGAUGAGCUUGGUCUAUAGCUACAUGUAGCAUGUCAUCACUGAGGUUGUGGGUUCAAGUCCUGAAGUAUGAGCUUGGUCUAUAGCUACAUGUAGCAUGUCAAUACUGAGGUUGUGGGUUCAAGUCCUGAAGGAUGAGCUUGAUCUAUAGCUACUUGUAGCAUGUCAAUACUGAGGUUGUGAGGAUGAGCUUGGUCUACUAUGUAGCAUGUCAAACUAGAGGUGCAAUCUGAGGAUGAGCUUGGUCUAUAGCUACAUGUAGCAUGUCAUACUGAGUGGGGAGUCCUGAAGAUGAGCUUGGUCUAUAGCUACUUGUAGCAUGUCAAUACUGAGGUUGUGAGGAUGAGCUUGGUCUAUAGCUACAUGUAGCAUGUCAAUACUGAGGUUGUGGGUUCAAGUCCUGAAGGAUGAGCUUGGUCUAUAGCACAUGGUAGCAUGUCAAUACUGGAGGUUGUGAGGAUGAGCUUGGUCUAUAGCUACAUGUAGCAUGCAUAGUCAAUACUUGGUCUAGCUACAUGUUGUGGAUGGGUGUUCAAGUCCUGAAGGAUGAGCUUUGUCUAUAGCUACAUGUAGCAUGUCAAUACUGAGGUUGUGAGGAUGAGCUUGGUCUAUAGCUACAUGUAGCAUGUCAAUACUGAGGUUGUGAGGAUGAGCUUGGUCUAUAGCUACAUGUAACAUGUCAAUACUGAGGUUGCAGGUUCAAGUCCUUAAGGAUGAGCUUGGUCUAUAGCUACAUGUAGCAUGUCAAUACUGAGGUUGUGGGUUCAAGUCCUGAAGGAUGAGCUUUGUUUAUAGCUACAUGUAGCAUGUCAAUACUGAGGUUGUGAGGAUGAGCUUGGUCUAUAGCUACAUGUAGCAUGUCAAUACUGAGGUUGUGGGUUCAAGUCCUGAAGGAUGAGCUUGGUCUAUAGCUACAUGUAGCUUGUCAAUACUGAGGUUGUGAGUUCAAGUCCUGAAGGAUGAGCUUGGUCUAUAGCUACAUGUAGCAUGUCAUCACUGAGGUUGCAGGUUCAAGUCCUGAAGGAUGUGCUUGAUUCCUAUUCUUAAUUGACUAGGAGUACCAGUUUUACCGGUGGUGCCGUUUGUUCUCUCUUGGCAUUCCUCCUUCCUCCACUUAUAAAUGUCAACGGCCACAAUAUAGCCAAUGCUGAAAGUGACUUAAAACACAGACAAUCAAUCAAUAAGUCAGUCAUCUGUUAUUAAUUUACAAAUUUACAGCAAAUACAAAUAGGGUAUACACAAAUUCUGUAAUUCACAAGAAGAUACGUUGUAAAACUUUCUAUUGUUCUUUAAUACUGGUUUAUGGCAGCCAUAGCCCAUACAUGUACAUUAGGUAUAGGAAGAUGUGGUAUGAGUCAGAGUGCCAAUGAGACAACUCUCCAUCCAAGUCACAAUUUAUAAAAGUAAACCAUUAUAGGUCAAGGUAAAGUCUUCAAUAAUGAGACUCUGCUCACACCAAACAGCAAGCUAUAUGGUUCAUGUUCAUAGUGUGAAGUACAUAUUUAUAACACAAGUACAUUGAGCUCACAUAUAUGUACAUGUAGAUUAUCAGAUACAAAUGUGAAAUGAAUAUUGUAUAGUGUCCACCAAUCUUGACAAUUGUACAUUGUAUGAUAUAUAUGUACAUAUAAUGCAUUGUAUCCUUAGCUUGCACUAUAAAGACAAAAUCGAAAUAAUGAUCUGCAUGUAUGGGACUCCUUGGCUUGAAGUGUAUAAGCUAUCAACUUGUGCUUACUUUCGCUGGUCCUGAAGAAAACUGUUUUCAGGAAGUCUAAUCAAAAUUAGCAUUACAGAUAUAAAUUCAUCAUAUUGGUACAAUGUACAUAUUUAAAAUUAGGUAUACAUAUACAUGUAUAUUAUAAUGGACCAAAUCAGAAAUUCAACUCAAUCUGACACAAAAAGUCACCUUUUGCUCUGUAAAUGAUACUGUUCUAUCCCCUCAACCUUAUAUUUGACAUCUAGGCUUUUGACGGAAUAUCCCUCAUAAUGCAACAGUGAGCACAUUUCUGAUUUGGUCCAUUGAAUUGCCAUUCAGUGUAAGUGGUGUCAUUUUAAUAGUAAGUGCUGAAUUCAUGAUAAACAAAAUAAUUUGUUAAUACAUGUACUUGAAAUCUUUGUAUUCUUUCUUUGCAGGACUGGCUUAAAAGAAGAGUCAAAACAUUAAAGAAAAUUUGAGAUGCUGACUUGGCUGCUAAUGUGAUCCUAAUUUUGAGACUGGAUAAUAAAGAACUAAUAUAACAGUAAGAUUUAUAUGUACAAUGUUAUACAUUACUGUGGAUUUAUUAUUAUUUGUGGGAUAUUAAUUUUCGUGGGUAAAGGUGAACCAUGAAUUCAAUGUUCAACGAAAUUUAAUGUUCAAUAGGCUAGGAUGCAGGCUUACAUGACUUACAUGUAGGCAAACAUACACAUACAUUUUUGUUUCAAAGUAACAUGAGUAACAUGAAAUAACACAAUAAUUCACUAACGUAAUAUAAGGAACUUUUUUAUCCCAAACUCGUCUCUUUCAUUUCUUCAUGACAGUUAUUGAAUGUUUUUUUAUAACCAUAUAUAUAUAGCUGAGUUGCUGAAAUUGAUAAUGUUGUCAUAGAUAUCUGUAUAUGUAACAACUACUUAACCUGGAUAGAGUAGCAGGUAGACUCAAAUAUCAUUAGAAUGGAUAUAAACUCACCCACACAUACAAAUGUAAGGAUCCAUAGUUUUAUGUAAUGAUAAUUUUCCAUGACAUGGUUUGAAAAAAAAAAGGCUAGUCUGACAGGUUUCCGAUUUAAAAUAUUUUUUCAUGUAAUAAAUUAUAAUUUGAAGUAUUCCCCAGGCUUUUGUAAAAUAAUUGAGGUCUAAUAAGAAUCUGAUUGGAAAGGAGGAUAUUUGUUCGCUAAGUCUUAUUCUAACAGUGUUGGAAUGACAGAAAGAGGAUAUUUAAUUUGUUCACUAAGACUUAUUCUAACAGUGUUGGAAUGACAGAAAGAGCAAUGACCGGACUAUUAUAUACAAGUAUGGGCUAAUCAAAUUUUUUAGGCACAUUCACUAUUGGUCUUUUAGGGUGGUCUUUUCUUAUUUAUUUGUGGGGGAAUUUGGGUGUUGUUUCCUCAAGGAAAAAGCAACAGUGAAUUUUGGGGGUUUGCUUUCUUAACCUGAUUGAUAUCUCUUAGUCUAUAUAUAGAAAAAUGGGUAGGUUUAUGAAUUUUGAUUGUAUAUUUAUUUUACAGUAAUAAGUAAAAAUAUAUAUUAGUGAUAAUUGUCACAUCAUUGAAACUUUAAGUGAAUUUGUGUAAAAGGUUUUUAAUUGUACGUUUUGUUGACACAAUAUGAUAUGGAUGUGAGCCUUAACUUGUUAUUAUUUGAUUAACAAUAAAGUCUCGUUUCACACAGCGGUACUUAUUUACUACCAACCAUCACAGCAGCGGACAUUUAAACGAGCCAAAUCAAUGCAUAAAUAAUAUUGAAGUUUUGUACAUAUAAAGGUAUUGCUUUGAACAAAAGACGAGUAUUCAAUCUCUUACCUGUGUUUGAGAGAUUUUUAACAAAAGGGGGAAGUAGUAGCUAUCAUGUGGUAGGGUCACGACUGACUUUUAGUUGAUUUGAGACAGAUUUAAAUGAGAAGGACAACACGAUAUGAGGACUUUAAACAGGUAUUUUUGUUUGUUAGUGGGAAAUUUAUUUUUUUAUUUGAAAACCUUUGUCAGCCAUGUUUAUUGAAUUAUCAAAUAGAUUAUAAAAUAUUUAUCGUAAAAAGACGAUUGACCCAGAGGUCAUCUUCGUCCCUUUUAGCCUUAGAAGUAUUUGAAUUUACCUGUUAAGUAUAAUACUAACGACAUUAAUGUGUUAUUUACAUAUGUAAACAAAUUACUCUGAUGAUUUUGGAUGAUACCUGUUAAAGUAAUCACUAUUCUUUACUGGCUUUCAUUUGUUUUCUAUUUACUGGCAAGAGAUAAUAAGAUAGAGUUAGUACCCAUAACAAUAAUUUGUAGUUAGCACAGAAAAUCAAUUGAAUGAUAUUAUGAUAUUGUAAUUAGAGUAUAUGAGGAUAAAAUGACACAGUAUCAAUUGAUAUUAAAUCUCUGAGAAUCACAAUUUAUGUAAAUAUCUACGCUUCAAUCACAUUUUUGACUACAUGUGGUAGCAUUCAUGUUGAACUGUACAUAUGUAGAGAAUUGGUUUUCCAUAAAAUGACCAGAUUUUGCACUUAAUUCAGUUUGAAUUCUUCAAAGUACUGCAAACAUUAUACCCCCCCCCCAAAAAAAAAAACCUGCCCCCCUAAAAAAAAAAUUUUGUGAUCAAGUAAGAUUGAUCUAUUAAGAACUUCAACUUGCUUGUAUAUUACAUUUGUAUAUGUGCAAAAAAAGGGCCCAUGGGAGCUAUAACCAUCUUUUCCCAGUCAUUUUCUGAGGAGAAUUCGGAAAAUUACUGCUGACAUUAAUGCACCCCCACCCUCAAUCUACCAACCAAAAAAAAGAUAAUAAAAAUACAAAAAUCUUCUCCUGAAACAACUUGGCAAAUUGCACCAACAGAACAAAGGUUAAAUUUGGGAAAAACUACAAGAUUUGGCUUUUUCUUAACAUCAAGAUGGAAAAGAAAAUCUGACAAAGUAGAAAUGCACAGAGUGUACCAAUGUUAAGAUCUACAUCUACUGUCCAGGGUUCACCAAGACUAUUUUAUGGAUGAUUUUAACCUAUGUUUUACCCUUUAUGUUGCAAGAAUGGUCAGCAAGUAGAAAGUCUACAAAUAUAAGAAUUUGGGCUGAACUAGUCAGAAGACUUCUUAAGAUCUUAAAGAAAAUCAGUCAAAAUAAUGUUCAGAGUACAAUUGAAACUCUAAUUUUACCAAGUUUUAUGUUAUAAUUUUGAAAACUAUAUACAUGUAAUUAUAUUAUAACUAACAGAUACAGAUAAAUGUAAAAUAGAUAAAACUAUCCUUGUGUAAUUAAUAUAAAGAUCUACACAACAGUCAAACAUGGAUGUGAAUGAUAGGAGUUUCAUAUUGCCCUAAAAUGGUGAUGCUUUUAACAUUUUGGCAAUUUAGGUAGACCAACACUUAAACUGCAAAGAUGCUCAGCAAGAAGAGAUCUACAAAUACUAUGAUCAGCAAGAAAGAAAGAUAUACCAAUAAUUGAACAUCGUUUAAAAUGUUUUUUUGAGUUAUGAGCUACAUGUAUAUUCUUGAAAAAACUACAUGUAAGAACUAGUAAACUGCAAAAAUAAUCAGCAAGACAAAUUUCACAAGUACAAUGUCAGUCAACAUGGCUGCAACUAAAGCAACCACUAACAGGAGCUACUGCAAUUUGUCCUUAAAUUACAUUGUUUGUCUCAAUUUAUUAGUUUUUGUCCUAUUAAUGUAGAAGAUAGAGAGAAAGAAUUGUUAACAGCAAAAUAUUAUCUUUGAAUAAGUUAAAAUAGUUGAAAUUUCCAGUGAGCUCCUUAUACCUUAAAAGAGUUAUUACCCUUAAUUGACGACUUUUGACAAACUUUUUAACUAUUUGCUGUAGAAAGAAGUCUUAGCAUUAAAACUAUCAACCACACACGAUCUGCAAAUAAGUAAAAUGAUCGAAACUUAUAAAUGUUGUUUCUUGUAGCCCACACAAUUUCAAUUAAACCAAAUAUUUAAAUGUAUUAUAAAUUGUUCAUUUUAUACUAUUAUGCCAGGUGAGCAAUGCAGGCUCCUUGUACCUCUAGUUUUGUUUGUUGUAAUAAGAUGUAAAUGCACAUCAAGGCUCUUACACAUAUUUCAGAGCAUAAUGUUAUGCAUUUUAUCUUUCUUAAUCAUUAAUAGCAAGAUAUGCAAAAAAAACAUCUUGAAAUUUAAAGUGCUUUUACACUAUAGGAUAAAAGAGAAAAUUUAAAUAAAAUUUUGAAUCAUUAUUCUAUUUGCUUAACAAAGAAACCUUCAACAUCUUAUCAGUUUAAUCAUUAAAAUGGAAUGUUAUGGAAAAUGCUUGUGACCUUAUAAUCAGGUCAAAAGGACAAAUAUUCAGACUGAUUUGAAAUAUGCAAAGAAUUUGUGUGUUCUAAACAGAAGACAAAUCCUGUUUUGAAACAAAUAUUACACAAUAUUUAUAUGUAACAGUGUCGUAUGUAGUUUGAUUAAUGUCAUCUACAUAUAGACAAUUUUAUAUGUGAGUAAGCAUUAAACUUAUUGUAUGAAAAAAGAGGAAUACAUUUUGCUGAAAACAAGUUUUUAAGUCUUGUCUAUAUUUAGUGCAAUAUAUAUAUUGUAUGCAUUUUUUGUGGUGGUUUAUUGUAUAUGUUUGUCAAAGUAUAUCACUUUGUUUGAAGUUAUAUAAGUUAUGUGUCUUGUGAUGCAUUUAAUAUAUUACAUGUAGUACUUGUGUCUUCAAAAUGAACAAUUGUGUCUUCAGUUGAUUUAAGGCUAUUUCAAACUCACAUCUGAAAAAUAGGUUUUAUAUUAUAUUAUGGCUAUCAAUUAUUAAGUCUUAUUUUGAGUUUUUAAAUGAUAUCUUAUACAGUCGUUGGACAAAAGUGAGUUCCCACUAAAAAAAUGUCCUAUCAUUUCAACCAAAAUCAAUGUUUUUUAAACAAUUAUUACCAAGUAGCUUUUUGAGCGAUUUUUAUAAAAUAAGUACCAUUAUUAAAGAUGAAGUUUUAUUGUUUAUUUGACCAUGAUAUUAUGCAUGCUUAUUUUAAAUUUCUGACGAGGUGAACACGAAGAAAAAUAUUUCUUGAAAAAUUUCCUAUGUACAUGUAUUCUAACCAAAUUAAAUCGUAAAUAUUUGCAUUUGUGUUUAACCUGUUAGAUAAAGAAUACAGACCUCACCAAAAUUAUAGCGAAAUAGACAAAAAAAACUUCAGACAUUUCUGCAUCUUAUGGUAUCUAUUUUAUAAAUAUCGCUCAUAGAUUUACUUGGUAAUAAAAAUUUUUAAACUAUCGAUUUUAGUUGAAAUGAUAGGAAAUUUAUUGAGUGAGAACUAACUUUUGUCCUAUGACUGUAUAAUUAGUACGGAUGGACAUUAGAUCUGUAUGGUCCUUACUCUUUGCAAAAAUAUGCAAUCUGGCUGAAUCUGUGUCUUUUUUUAUUCCAGAGCUUUCAACAUAUUAUAUAUAUAUCUGAGCAACAGUCAGACAAGUUCUCCACAUCUUCAUCAUUUAUAAGCUGGUUAGAAAGGCAUGUGAAAUAAGAUUUGAUAUCUGUUCUAAG
rnacentral:lncRNA from 1 species